rnacentral:misc_RNA from 1 species
GAUGAAGAACGUAGCGAAAUGCGAUAAGUAAUGUGAAUUGCAGAAUUCAGUGAAUCAUCGAAUCUUUGAACGCACAUUGCGCCCUCUGGUAUUCCGGGGGGCAUGCCUGUUCGAGCGUCAUUAUAACCACUCAAGCUCUCGCUUGGUAUUGGGGUUCGCGGUUCCGCGGCCCCUAAAAUCAGUGGCGGUGCCUGUCGGCUCUACGCGUAGUAAUACUCCUCGCGAUUGAGUCCGGUAGGUCUACUUGCCAGCAACCCCCAAUUUUUACAGGUUGACCUCGGAUCAGGUAGGGAUACCCGCUGAACUUAAGUAUAUCAAUAAGCGGAGGA